rnacentral:rRNA from 1 species
CCUACGGGGGGCUGCAGUGGGGAAUAUUGCACAAUGGGGGAAACCCUGAUGCAGCGACGCCGCGUGAGUGAAGAAGUAUUUCGGUACGUAAAGCUCUAUCAGCAGGGAAGAAAAUGACGGUACCUGACUAAGAAGCCCCGGCUAACUACGUGCCAGCAGCCGCGGUAAUACGUAGGGGGCAAGCGUUAUCCGGAUUUACUGGGUGUAAAGGGAGCGUAGACGGCAGCGCAAGUCUGGAGUGAAAUCCCAUGGCUUAACCAUGGAACUGCUUUGGAAACUGUGCAGCUAGAGUGCAGGAGAGGUAAGCGGAAUUCCUAGUGUAGCGGUGAAAUGCGUAGAUAUUAGGAGGAACACCAGUGGCGAAGGCGGCUUACUGGACUGUAACUGACGUUGAGGCUCGAAAGCAUGGGGAGCAAACAGGAUUAGAUACCCCAGUAGUC